CCAACCUUCCAUCACCUAAGUUCCCAUUAAUAUCACUGGCGAUAGAAAUGAAUUUAUGUGCAUCUUCCUCUGAACCAGCGACGGGGAAGCGGCCUAUCUCUGAAAUGAACUUAUCCAGGGCCUGGAAUGCUAGAUGCAGUAGAGGUGGGCGGUCAAACUUAGAAAAAUCGCUAAGAAGAAAUUCGCCUGGAUCAUUGAGUGCUUCCCUUAGAGGUUUGAAGUUCAAAACCUUUGGUUGUUUGGCCUGUGUGACAAUACCACCUUUUUCAUAGGCACCAUAGUUUGUGGUGUCUUCUUCAAGAGUGAAUGAAUAUGCUCUAGCAUUUUUAAUCUUUCUUGGCUUUCCGUCAUUCAACUCUUUCAUACCAUGAACUUCAGAGAACACAACAAGGUCUCCGUCCUGAAACUCAAGUCUCUCAUCAUCAACACAAGAUACUACAGCAGGGUUGUCAUUGCUGAUGGAUGCAAUUAUUCCAGUAUGUGGUUCCUCCCCGUCAACAUCAACAACUGUAAACUCAGGUCCAAAAUCACAAAACACGGAACCAAAAAGACCUCUAACUUCAGUUUUAAUAAAAGCAAUAGGAGGCUGAUGACUGUGGCAGUAAUCAUUGAACUCAACAGCUUUCUCAAGACUGACUUCGGUAAAAACAACAGCCUACAAGACAGUUAUAAUAAACAAAUUUAAAUUUAUUCAAAUAAGUCAGAAACAAAUGGACGCACUAUACAACUACAAAGAAGGACAGGUUUUACAGAAAUGGUCAAGUAAAUUAAAAUUGCUCGUCUCACAUGACUUCAUUAAUUGAUCUACAAUAGAAUGAUGUUAUUUGCCUUCACACUUCUACCAAUUAUAUAUAAAAAUGAAUUGACCAUCAGAAUUAUUGUGAUAGACGGUCUACAACAAUAUAAGGUAAUGAACACAGUUGUUUCCAAUCAUGUUAUUAUUGACAUUCAUUCCACCUAACAUCUAAUAUCACAUCAACACUUCCAAAAACCUUAACAUUAGAUACAUAUACUGUGUUGUUUAAGAUUUUAAGCAAGAAAUACGUCUCAUUUACUUCAAAAUUUUAUAAGAAAUGUUAUCAACGUUAUAUAGGCUUAAAACAAUAGUCAAAUACAUGUGACCCGGUUUGCAGCUAUUCUUCCUUUAAAAAUGUUUGGGACAUAAAAAAAUAACAUGAAAAAUUAACCAAUUAAUCAUAGACCCAAGACCAAGAACUAAAAUAUUACUCUAAUAUGUACGAUAUGUGACAAGUGACAUUAUUUCCGUAUGAUAUGUGACCAGGGAGAUUAUUUCUGAAGUAUGACAUAAAGUUGAGAAAUUGCUCAAGUACUAGAUUAAUAAGAGUGGCCCAAGCACAAAGCAAGUAAAGAAAAAUUAUUGGUAAUGGCUAAUAUUCUACCCUCACCACAUCCUAAAAUCAGAAGUUACCAAUUCAAUGAUUAGUAAUAACAGGAGUGAAGUUUCUCCUCGUAAAUAAUGGGUCUCUCAUCUUUAUUAUGACUCUCCUAAUUAGCAACUACCAUAUUCAUCUAACGAGUUGGGUUUUUUCUAUACUAUUAUUAAUCUUAGUUAUACAUUCAAUUAUUUUAUACUGUAAACUUUAGAAUUAGAAUAGACAAUGGCCACCAAAAUAAUGACUUCAAUAAACAUUAAUCACCAAUUUAAUAUAAGCCUAAGACCAAUAGCUAAAAUAUCACUAUUAUAUGUAUGAUAUGUGACAAGUGACAUUAUUGCUGAAGUAUGACAGAUACAGUUCUGAGAAAAUGCUCAAGUACUAGAUUAAUAAUGGUGGCCCAAGAACAGAGCAAGUAAUGAAAAGCUAUUGGUAAUUGCUAAUGUUCUAUCCUCACCAUAUUCCUAAAAAAAGAAAGUUAAUAAUUCCAUGAUUAGUAAUAACAGAGUGAAGUUUUCCCUCGUAAAAUAAUAUGCUCCUCGUCUUAUUAUGACUCUCUUAAUAAUAUGCCUCCCAUCUUAUUAUGAUUAGUUAUAUCUUCCAUGAUUUUAUAAUGUAAACAUUAGAAUUAGAAUAGACCAUACUCCCUAGCCACCACAAUAAUGACUUCCAUAAAAAUUAAUCACCUAUUAUGCAAAUGAAUCGCCUUUAUUCAAUAAUUUCAAAUAUUUAAAUCUUCAAAUUCCAUUCCCAUUCUACAUAAUUAAUGCAAAAACUUGCAGUGUUCUAGUUUUGUGGUCAAGAGAAUUUCCUCUAUUUCCAAACGAAAUACAGGCUCCUAUCAAGCUUUAAUAACAUAUUUAUUUUAUUAUUUUAACUGGUUUCAAAACACCUCAUUUCAGAGUUCAAUGGAAGUCUAAAUACACAUUGGGACACCCAUCUUUACAGAUAAUAGCAUGUUAGAGUCUAUGCACAUGUGCUGUAUAAGUCAUAUAAAAAAAAAGAGCGUAGCCUGUACUGUUAUAUAACUAGCAGAUCUAUAAAUUCCAAGUAUAUGUGUUGUACCCACCCUGUACAGAUUCAGAUCUCAUUUUCUCUCAUUAGUUUCUCACAUUCCUCACUUUAUCAUAGAUUCAUAGUACACAGUACAAUUAAAAUAAUAGCAAAAGCAAAUAACCCAGAAAUGUAAACCAAAUAGAGAGAAGUAUGUUAGCAAUAUAGCAUGUGAAGAUGAAAUAAAGGCUUAGCACUAAAUGCCUCCAUGAUCUUAUUUCAUGUUUGCAAUGGCAUUCUACUUUUUAAUCAUUAUAAUAGCCAGGUUUUGCAGUUGAUAUGCAUCCAUUAAAUAGUGUAGCAUAUGUAAACUAUAUAACAGAGGAUUUGGGAAUACGUAUAAAAAUGCAAGAUUAAAAGUUUGUCAUUUCAAUAUUAAGGUGUGAAUAAGGAAAAUCAUUUCCUACAAUUCCAUACACAAUCACUUGAUAUAUGGUAGGUAAACAUAUGAAUGCGUUAAAAGAACUGACUCCAAAAAAUAAGUAGAGAGCAAAAGUAGAAGUACCUGGAAAUUAGAAAGUUGUUCUUUGGUCAGCUUAGUUGUCAAGCUCAGUACAAGCACUGCGUUAUUGAGUUCCUGCAGCUUACUGACAGAAGCCACUGCCCUGUUUUUACCAAGAUCAUUUUCUGAAAACACGAAGUUGCUGGACAAAUCCCAUAACUCUACAGUCCCUUCAUCGUGCAAGGUUACAGAUUUUACACCAGCAAGAAUAAGAUUCUUUGCUGCACACAGUAAAUUCAAUCCAAGGCAUUAGAAAAAGCUGACAUGUUGGAAUUUUUAUAACUAAACUGUUAAAAAUAAAACAUGAGACAAAUGAAAUAUUUCAAAUUGCAAAGCAAAGAUCUCUUAAUUAAUGAUUUUAAAUUGAAUGGGACGUAAGUUAGUACCUCUAACAUUUUUGGAAUUAGGAUUUGGAUGUGCAUGAUGCCAUGAUCCAUAAACCUUACAGUGUUCUAUAAUCAUAGAGAUCUAGGGUGUGGUUGGAGAGCGAUUUUAUUAAGGUAGCAUUUGGAAGGUUAUUUUAGAAAUACUUGUAAAAAUAGCUUAUAAAAUGUUCAGACUAUUUUCAGCUAAUUUUCCUAAGCUCCUAUAGCUUAUGGUAACAUAAGCUAGCAUUUAAAGCAGAGUUUACCCUAUUGCCUCUUCAUUUGUUGAAAAAACUAUUGCAUAAUCUCUUCUCUUCAAUAAAAUGUAUAUUCAAACAACCCGUGAAAACUUGUCUAAUAAGUAAUAAGAUAUUCUAAGGAGUUCAACUAAACAUUUACUUAUAAGCUAUCCAGAGAAGUUUAUACCUGUGUAUCCAAACCAAACACUAAUAUAAACACUUAUAUCAAGAGAUAAAUUCAAAUAAGAUUCAAACUUCAAACAUGUAAUAAGUUCAUGUUCCAAAUGCCGUAUAUUAACACAAAAAACUAAAGUAAAUACUUGUAUCAGAAGAUAAAAUCAAAUAUUAAUUGAACAUCUAUUUUUGUCAUUUAAUAUUAUAAGCAUAGUUCAGCCGUUAAUUUUAUCAGACAUUUCACCUAAUUUAUCAACUAUCCGCUAUUUCUUAUCAAAUAAAGCCUAGAUCUAUCAAAUUAAUAAACAUCAUCAAACACAUUUAUUAGUUGGAAAGGAGUAUUUUAUGACCAAUCUCAACACCAAGUCCCCACAUCCCCUAAAAAAGAACACUAAAGCAAAAAACCUCAUUGUCUCACGGCCAAACAAGUAGCUCAGACCUUAAAGCUUAUAGAUUAUCAUUUUUUCUCAAUUUUACCCUUGUUAUUUUAAUUAGGAAAAAAUUAACAAUUAAGUAAACAUAUCUUUUCUAUAUCAUUUAAUUUAAUAUUAAUAACAUUUUAUCAGUCCCGUGAGCUUAGCUCAAUUGGUAGAGAUAUUGCAUUAUAUAUGCAUGCAGGGGGCAGAGGUUCGAAACCCAGACGCUGCACUUCUCCACAUUUAAAAAAAUGUGUGAGCUCCAGCCACCAGACUACUUGACCAAAAAAUAAAAAUAACAUUUUAUCAAACCAUACAAAUUCAAAUCAGCUAACUGCUUAUCACUACUUAUCAGCUCUCAGCUAUCUCAUCAUCAGCUAUCCACUGUAAGCUAGCUUGUCAGCUAUCUGUUAUUUCUCAUCAAACAAAGCCUAGAUCUAUCAAACCAACAAACAUCAACAACGCAUAAGUUAGUUAAAAAGAGCAAGCAUUUUAUUACCAAUCUCAGCACCAAGUCCUCGCAUCCCGGAAACAAGAACACUACUCGCGAAAAGCCUCCUCAUAGUCUCCCUACCAUACACAGCAAGCUGCCUGCUAUGCAGAUCCUCAUCAAUCUCCUGCGGGUUAGAAUUUCCAAAAGCCAUACUCGACGCUGCAAUCAAAUUCACACCACUGUUACUGCUAUCACCGCUGCUACUGACACUCUUGUUACUCUCGUUCACGGUCGAUUCACCCAUCCGCGCCUUCUUAACCGAACCUGGAUUGUUACUGUUACUGUUGCUGUUGUUGAUCGGUUCUUCUACAACAACUUCUCCUUCACUAACUCUCUUUCUUGGAAGCAUAUAGUGAAAUAAUCUGCUGAAUACGCGGCGACAAAUACGCACCAUUGAGAAUAUCAAUAAAACAAAACAAAAUCAAGAAGAUGAAAAUAAAGUGAUUAAGUUAGAAUCGAAUCGAAAUCGAUGAAAUUGAAAAACCCUAAGAAACAUAGGAAGAAGAAGAAGAUGAAUCUAGAAACGUACCGAUGAGGAAGAAAGGAAUGGAAUCUGAUCGGAAAUGAGAGAGAAAGUUUGGAAUUCUUUUUGGUUCAGUUUGGAAUUGUGUAAAGAGUGUAAGAGGGUUUGGUUUGAUUCGGUAAUAAAGCGAGAGAGGAAAUUUUUUUUUUUCUGCCCUUAUUUAAUUCCAAAAAUACAAAAAUGCCCCACUUUUGAAAAAAAUUGCAUAAAUGCCCUACUUUUCAAAUUUUUCUGGUAACUUGCAACACCCACUUGCGGGGUACCUUAAAAAAAUUUAAAAAAUUCACUACCCCGCAAGUGGGACUUGCGGCCUACUAUUUUUUUUUUUUUUUUUAAAUUAAAUAACUCACUUGCGGGGUGUGAGUUAUUUUUUUUUUUUUUUUUUAAAAAUAAUACAUUGCUACCCCCACUUGCGGGGUAUGCAUAAUUUUUUUUAAAAUUUUUUUAAUACCCCGCAAGCCCCACUUGCGGGUUUGUUUUUUGUUUUUUUUUUUAAUUUUUAAAAUAAAAAAUAAUAAUAAAAAAAAAGAAGGAAAAAAAAUAAUAAACAUAUUAAAUAUCAUGAUAUCUACAAUUAUUAUAAAUGCCCGGCUGUCCCACACCCUCGUCUUCGACGAUUUCUUCCGCGAUUUACUUGAGGGUCAUGUUGGUCUUCGUCGUUGUUAUCUGCAGCUGAUUGUAUUUGACUACCAUAACCCAAUGACAAUGACACAUCGUGUUCCCUUGUUGGCCAUCCCAUAUCCAGAAAUUGAUCAGUAGAGUUCAACGAAGCCGGAGAAAAGUGAGAUAAUAGGUUUGUUGGUGUUGGUGGGUGGUUGUAGUUUUGGUUGGUGUACAUUGGGUAUUGUGGGUUGCUGUAGGGGGGGUAAUUGGUGUUGGACGGUCCAGCUUGGUUUGGGUCAUUAUAGGAGAAGUAGUUGUUGUUGGAUGCGCCAGCUUGGUUUGGGUCAUUGUAACCAUAAGUUGACUGAUAAUGGGGCUCAUAUGCAUUUCUCGGGGAGGUAUAUGGUGGUGGUUGGAUGAUGUUUUGUUGGGGGGUGUCGAGAAAUUCAUACAUUACAGAACCAUGAAUGUUUUGGGUUGUAUGUGGUUGGGAUUGAUGAUCAUGUAGUUGAGAAAAAAUGUCUUGAUCCCAAAAAUCAUCAUGAAUUGGUGUUUGGUUGUUGCGAAUUUCAGGUUCAUGUUCCGGCUCUUCGGCUUCGUCUGGAUCUGAAUUUGAUGGGUUUGUUUCAAUUGAAAUCCUUAGACGUGGGUUGCAUGUGGUUGUCAACCACUCAAUAUACGCAUGAGUGUGGGUGAGUGAUCUUGGCCGCAUGCGUGGUAAAGUAUGGCUCCGUCGGUUGUCCCAAUGUUCGCACUCUUCUGGAAAGCGAUAACCAUUUGAUUUGUACCACGUCUUGAACCGUUUGUCUAUUACAUGGUACUGUGUCAUGUCUCGUGGGGGCCCUGGUAUUUCUUGUGGCAGACCAAAUUGGAGCUUGACCCUAUCAGUUGGAUGCCAUUCAACUUUGUCAAAACAUAUAAGGUAACUUGUUGCAGUCCACUCCCAAUAUUCUUCAGGCAAGUUGUGUGGAACAUUCUUGUAUGGUCUCCAUUUAAACUAGCACAAGAGAUAAGAUGUAGUGUAAGGUUAACAAUUUUGAUAUAUAUAUAUAUAAAGUCAUAAUUAAAAAAUCAAUUAUAAUAUUACAUCAUGGGGUAGUAUGUCAUCAAACUUUUUUCGGUAAGAAAUAGUGUCAUGGCUUGGAUUUUCAUAAUAUCUUGAACCUGCACCUGUCCAUCUAACAAAUGAUAUAAACAAUUUAGUAACUAAUUUAUCAAAUAAUAAUAUUAAUAAGAAGUGAGAAAAUGUGACGAAAUAAAUAUUAAAAAAAAAAUUGAUCACGAUUACUUUAAUCCAAGCGGCCACUGGAGUGGGUUAUCAUUUUUCGGAGCGAUAUAACUCAACCGACAAUAUCCCCAAACUUGUAACAGGAAAUGACAUCCUGUUAGUGCUUUUAUAUUUGGGUGUGAUGCCUCACACAAGCCACGAUAAAGGUAAGUCAACACUGCCGAUCCCCAACUAUAGUUUCUUGUUAGAUUAAAAUCCAUUAACAAAUACAACCAGGAGUUGUGCACAAAUAAUCCAGUUGUAUUAGGAAACAAGAACCCUCCAAAGAGGUAUAGUAGGUACCUCCUAGUGUGUUGUAUUUUUACCUCCGGAGGAGAUUGUUCACUGAAGUUAUUAUCGACCAGAUUAUCCUUUAACCACGACAAUGAGAGGGUAAAACCAUCAGUUUUAUUUGCUGGAGGAGUUAUUCCCAACAAUUGAGCACAAAUGUUCCACGCAAGAUUUGGAGGAGCCGUAACAAAUGGUCCGCAAAAAGGUAAUCCGAGUAACAUAUAUACGUCUUCCAACGUGAUUGUGCAUUCACCCGUUCGAAAAUGAAAAGUAUGUGUUUCAGACCGCCACCUUUCUACAAGAGCGGUUACGAUGUGUCUAUCGAUUUUGUAACGCCCUAUUUGAGAAACCUCAAAAAAUCCGGUUUGACGUAGAUACUCUUCAAUAUGAGGACUUGGUAUUAUGUGUUGUCUAGUACGGGUGACGAGAGGUGCACCCUGUGCAUCCUAACAAAAAAAAUAAGAAAUGAAUACAAUUAAAACAUAAUCAAAAUAUAAAUUUAAAUAGUUCAAUAUAUAUUGAAAUUAAUAUUGAACUAUAAUAUUAAGAGUAGUAUUAAUAAUUAAAAUGUGAAAACGACAUUAACAAAUUAAUAUUUAUAUAUACCCAUCUUCUGAUAUGUUCUUCAUUGGAUCUGUGAUCAUUUUCCAACCACAAGUAUGCCAUUACUUUAUAUAAUUUGUUUGAAAUAUUGGUUGUAUGUGAGUGAGUAAGGAAAGGAAUGUGAGUGAGUAAGGAAAGGAUUGAGAUAACUAGAAUAUGUCUGAAGAGUUAAAAUAUAGUUCUAGUAUUUAUAAUGUAAAGUUAUGUGUAAAUAGGGGAAGUAGUUGUGUGGUAUCGUAAUGAAUGAAGUGAAGAAUUCAAUUCAUAUCUUUUACUAAUUCAACACCUGCAAAGCAACAACACAUGCAAAGCAACAGUCUUAAAAUAAAUAUAGAAGUGACAACUGCAUCAAUAAAUAUAGAAGUGACUACUGCAUCAGAAGCACAGAAGCAUGGUGUUCAACAAGCAUGCUACUCAACAGUAUCAUAUUAAUCAAGUAAGAUAUGACUAUUGCAUGCAAAAUACAUUAAUUUCUUGGGAGAAAUUUUUCACCAAAAUGACACAUGCAUGGUUGAUCACGUGAUGCAUGCAGUCCAUGAAAAAGCAGUACCUUUAAUCCAAUCCAGCUGGCGCGUGGGGCGCGUGCUGUCCUACCUCGCAACUCCAGCUUGCGGGGUACCCUCCAGCUGGCGCGUGGGGGGCCUAACCCGCAACUACAAGUUGCGUGGUACCCUCCAGUUGGCGCGUGGGGGCGCGUGGGGGCCUAACCCGCAACUACAAGUUGCGUGGUACCCCAACCAUUUUUUUUUUUAAAUUUUUUUUAAAUUUUACCUCACAAAAUAUUAUAAAUGUGGUCCGCAUGUUACGAGUAUAUUGCAUCAAACCACUCUACUUCAUACACGCUUAGUCAUUCUUAAGACCAAACCAAAUCAAUGGCAUCAAAUAUAAACGUUUUUGUGUACUAUAAUGGAGAAGUUAAACAAAAUGAUUCCGGUAUUUUUUUUCAAAGUCAGUAUACCAAAGGUUUUAAAGUCAGCAUGGCUAGUACUUACUUGCAUCUCAAAAAAAGAAUUGCGGAGAAAAUAUGUCUCGGACAUAAUAUGGUUGUGUCUGAAAUUAUGUGUCGGAAUCCCAUGUUUGUUGGAGCUACCGCAAUCCACUACCAGGCGUUAAGAAUAACUGAUAACGACGAUGUCGAGUUUAUGUUUAACGUACAUAAAAGUCAUAGUUCGUUGUCCUACAUAGAGCUUUAUGUUACGUUUGAGAUGAAGAAUCCAACAUCUAAUUUUGAGUUAAAUUACCCCUCAAGUUCUAGUCAACACCAAAAUCUACCACAACAACAAUAUAACACACAACACUGCAAUCCCUCAUCGUCAUCGUCCCAACCGCACUACAACCCGUCAUCGCAACCGUUUCAAUCACAGUGGUCACAAAAUGUGUACGAACCACCACAACUAAUAACUCAACCUCAUCCCUCUCAACCCGAAACUUUGAACGAUGAAAUCAAUAUAUUCACCUCCCAAUUCCAAGACCAACCAACUGAUGAAGUUCAAGAUGAUGAAGACAAUGAUGAUGAAGAACUCCUUGCCGCACAAAACGGUGACGAGAACGAAGAAGACGAUGAAGACGAUCUGCCACAACUACCAAUUUUACCAAUUAGAGCUUCUUACAACCCACCAAGGUCCAUGCGCAACGUCAACGAUGACCACUCAACUGAACUUUACCAUUCAAUGGCUCUUCCGGUCGAUCAAGGUAUUGCCCCAGGGAUGCAAUUUCAUAACAAGAAUGAUUGCAUUCUCGCAAUUAAAUAUUAUCACAUGAAAAAAUCAACCGAUUAUAUUGUGAAAAAAUCAGAUCCUGAAAGGUAUGUCAUCAAAUGUAAAGAUACAAAAUGUGGUUUCAAAUUGCGGGCCUCGUGGAGGAAAAAAACUGAUAAAUGGGAGAUUGGGAACAUGAAUGAUCAUACAUGUGUCUCAACAGAAAUGACACAAGAUCAUCACAAACUUAGUUACAAUGUGAUAUGUGAAAGUGUUAAAUCACUACUAUAUAUGGAUGCCUCAAUUACAGUGAAGGUUAUAAUUGCACACAUCCGAGAGAAAUUUAAUUACACAGUUUCAUACAGAAAGGCAUGGAGAGCAAGGAAUAAGGCGAUUGAAUCAAUUUAUGGUAAUUGGGAGGAGUCUUAUGAAGAACUACCACAGUGGUUGAUGGUCAUGGAAAAAGAUUUGCCAGGAACAAUAAUUGAUUUUCAAUCAGACCCAUCAACAGAAGUGGCAAAUGAGACCGUCUUCAAGCGUCUCUUUUGGGCCUUUCGUCCGUGCAUCUCAGGUUUCGAAUUCUGCAAACCAAUUGUCCAAAUUGACGCAACUUGGUUGUAUGGUAAAUACAAGGGAACAUUGUUGUUAGCUGUUGCGCAAGAUGGGAACAACAAGAUAUUUCCCAUAGCUUUUGCAAUCGUGGAAGGCGAGACCAAGGAGGCAUGGAGUUUCUUUUUGAAAAAUUUAAGGCAGCAUGUCACCCCACAAGAGAACAUAUGCCUCAUUUCUGAUAGACAUGUGUCGAUAAAGAGCGCGUAUGAUGAUCCACAGAAUGGAUGGCACGAUGCUCCGACAAGCCAUGUUUAUUGUGUCCGACACAUUGCACAAAACUUUAUGAGAUCAUUCAAGGAUGGAGAACUAAAGAAGAAAGUUGAAUGCAUGGGUAAAAAUCAUAUCUCUUUCCACGUAAAUUCGACAUUUUAUUUGUUUAAAAUGACACAUCUAACUUUUUUCAAAACAAUGCAGGUUACGCCAUGAACAUCCCUACAUUCGAAUACUACCGUUCUGAAAUUGCUGUUGCAGACCGAAAGGCUUUAGCAUGGGUCGACAAUAUUCCCAAACAAAAGUGGACUCAAUCACAUGAUGAUGGUCGACGAUGGGGCCAUAUGACAAGUAACUUGGUAGAGUCACAAAACAACGUGUAUAAGGGUAUUCGAGGACUUCCGAUCACAGCUAUCGUGAAAGCAUCAUAUUACAGGUUGGCGGCCUUGUUUGCUAAAAGAGGACAUGAGGCAGCGGCAAGGGUAAAUUCUGGUGAGCCAUUCUCCGAAAACAGCAUGAAAUAUCUCAGGAAUGAGGUGAUUAAAUCCAACAGUCAUCAUGUCACUCAGUUUGACCGGGAUCGAUAUACCUUUUCCGUCCGUGAAACCAUCGAUCAUAAAGAAGGAUUGCCAAAGGGAGAAUACAAAGUGGACCUGCAAAAUAAAUGGUGUGACUGUGGACGGUUUAGAGCGUUACACCUACCAUGCUCACAUGUCAUUGCCGCAUGUUCUAGCUUUUGUCACGACUACAAGACUUUUGUCGAUAACAAAUUCACGAAUGAGUGUGUAUACGCCGUAUACAACAUCCACUUCGACGUGGUUCACCACCAGACAUAUUGGCCUAAUUAUGAAGGACCGAAGGUGGUUCCCAACAAGUCAAUGCGUAGGGCAAAGAAAGGUCGUCCACCAAUUACUCGCAUUAGGACCGAGAUGGACGAUGUGGAAACUGAGAGAAGAUGCGGUGUUUGUAGGAUGCCUGGUCAUUCCCGCAAAGAUUGCAUUAAUAUUAGACAUCAGUAGAAAUUUAGUCUUUAUUUUGUUUAUAGGAUGUCUAGUGAUUAAUAUUAAUAUUAUUAUUAUUAUUAUUAUUAUUAUUAUUAUUAUUAUUAUUAUUAUUAUUAUUAAUUACCAGAAAAAAUUAAAAAAAAAAACAAAAAACAAACCCGCAAGUGGGGCUUGCGGGGUAUUAAAAAAAUUUUAAAAAAAAAUUAUGCAUACCCCGCAAGUGGGGGUAGCAAUGUAUUAUUUUUAAAAAAAAAAAAAAAAACUCACACCCCGCAAGUGAGUUAUUUAAUUUAAAAAAAAAAAAAAAAAAAAAUAGUAGGCCGCAAGUCCCACUUGCGGGGUAGUGAAUUUUUUAAAUUUUUUUAAGGUACCCCGCAAGUGGGGGUUGCAAGUUACCAGAAAAAUUUGAAAAGUAGGGCAUUUAUGCAAUUUUUUUCAAAAGUGGGGCAUUUUUGUAUUUUUGGAAUUAAAUAAGGGCAGAAAAAAAAAAAUUUCGCGAGAGAGAGGUGUUUCUGGAUUUUUGUAGGAAAAUGUGUUUGAGUAGGAUUUCUAUAGUUUUACUCUCUUCCCAAUACAAUCAUCAAUUUAAUUACCGUAACUUUUUAACAAUUUUUACAUACUUACAAAUAUUAAAAACCAUUAAAUGAUGGACGCACCGGUGGCGAUGAAAUGUGGAACGAAAGGUGCAUGCAGGCACGUUAGCACUCAAACGUUAAAGUAAGUUCCAGAAAUGAGAUAGAAUGUGUAAUAAGUGUAGGAAAAGUGAAUCAUACCUUGGGGUGAAGCUAAGUUGCCCUUAUAUAGGCGUCUGUGAGAACAAUCGCCUCCACAAAAAGUGUGGCGCCUCAUCAGAAGGUCGUUAGGGGACACGUGUACAUUGUCUGAUGCACGGGGGGCAUGUUUAGGUGCGGUGAUGUGAACCAGAAUUAGGGUGUUCAUCCAAGUGACGUACGUCGAUCUGGUGGGCUCCUUGUCCACGUGUCAGCGUUGGAUUGGUUUUAUCGUCGAUCCAGAACAAUUUCCCCCCAAGUCGUUGUUGCCUUUAAGGUGCAAUGGCUUAGUCAUGUGAGGCGUUUUAACAAGGCGCCUUUUAAUAUUGCCGCCUUCAAGGGUCUUGAGAAGGUUUUGUUGCUACUCUGUGCUAGACAUGGCGGCGUCCUAAGGCAGUGAGUGGAAGUUGUUGGCAUAAAAUGUUUACGAUGUGAUGGUUGUUUCCACAUGUCAGCUUCGUGGGGUGCACGUGUAUUGGAGAAAGUGCUUCACGAGUGCGUUACUCGAGUCCAUUGUGUUGCUUGAGGUUUUUCUUAGUCGUUGGAUCGUGACCUUCUAGUUUCCUUUCAUCUAGGUCGUUCGAUCAAAAUUCUUUAACCUAUAAAAGGAGGGAUACCUCUUCAUUCCAUUCAUUACGUCCUCUAGACUUUCAAUAUAUCUAAGGAGUUCUCUACAUUUUUUCUCCUUCCUCAAAACUUUAUUUAAGGUCUUUUCGCACCUUGUUUUACUCCUUUUCUCUGUAUUUCUGUACACCCUCUUCGUUUUUGUUCUUUUCUGGGUUGAGAGAGAAAUAUGAGUGUUUGUUCUAGGAAUCUGAUGGAUUUGUCAUCAAGUGGUUAUUCGCCUUCCAGUGGUUAUGAAAGUAUUAUUUUGAUGGAUAUUGCUGUCAUCUUAGGGUUGGUGUUGGCUUUGACUUCCUCCCGAUAGUUUUAAGGAAUCAUGUUGUGGUUAAUGUUUUCAAAUGGGAUGCUUCACAUCUUGAGCCGAGGGAAUCCCUCACCAAGUUCCUUAUCGCGGAAGCUUAGUCAUGUGUAUUUGUUGGGGAGAUAUAUGUUGGGGCUGAGAAAACUAGGUUGGUCAAGAAGCUUGCCAAGAUUAAGAAAGAACAUGAGGCCUAUAGCUGAGGCUGUUGAUUUGAUCCAAGAAAUUGCGGUGGAAACUUUGGGCACCAUGACAAAAACUAAGGGAACUACAUUCAUUCUCAAACAAGUUCGAUUGCGCCUAGAUUUCCCGGACCAAGCUUGCAUCCAGAUAUUCUCGAGAAGGAUAAGUCCAAGAGUAAUCGAUGUAGGUGCAAUUAAGGAAGAAAAAAAAGGGUGUAUAGCGAGCGGUACGUCUUGGAAUUGAGAGCCUCGACUAGCGCGCCCACCUGCUUCUUCCUUGAGUGGAUCAACCUCCUACUUUUCGAAGAAGAUGUUCGGUGAUUUGGUUUUUCUUUUUAUUGUUUAUGUAAUUCCGAUGUGGCGACCCCUCUUGUAAUGAUUUGACCAUCUUAAUGAAAAUAGGUUCCUUUGUUCACUUUUUUGCCUUGAGCUUUGAUUCUUUAUUUGUGUCGCGUUGAUUUGCUUUUUAUUUCAUGCCGCCGUUUUAUGCAUUUUAUUUCAUGCCGCAUUUAAUCUUUACUUCAUUUGCUUGCGUUCGUCUGGCGCCCAAGGGAACAUGACCGGUGAAGGUUUAGUCCCCCCAAGUUGACACUUGGUUUCAUGGGUGUUUUUAGGGGGCGAGACUCUCUAGUUGAAGGGUGCCUAACCCUUAGGCGGGUCUGCCACAAUUCUUUAGGUUGUCGUUUCAUUUGGUAGUGAAAGCCAUGCUAACCGUUAGUCUUUGGCAGUUGUUUAGACUGUCAUUUCACUUUAUAGUGAAAAGCCAUGCUAACUGAUCGUCUUUGACGGUUGUUUAGGCUGUCAUUUCUCUUGGUAGUGAAAGUCAUGACAACCUUUCGUCUUUAUGGAUGCUACCUCAUGUAGGUUUAAGACUUUUGAUCCUGACAAUGAAAGAAUUUAACAAAUGCAUAUCUUUUUGAGAGUAAAACGUUCAUUUUAUUAAUAUCAUGAGAAUGCAUUUACAAUGGGUUCUAUCUGUAAACUUCAAAAACCAAAAUACAAAGGUAAAAUUUAAAUCAAAGACCAUUAGUAUUUAGCUAUAAUAGGACAUCCACACCUCGAUGUAGUCUAAUCGGCUCACACCUACUAUGAAAUGUAUGAGCAUAUGAUUCCUCAUAUAUAAUAAAACAAUGUACAUAUCAAUCUAGCAUAUGUAGCAACAACUAAAUAUUAUGUUGACAAUAUUUUGAGUGUACAAUACUAUAUAAUUAAUUGGAUCUCUCGUAGUCAUAUCAAUGAUAAUGAAUGUGUAUUUUUUUUUACCUUAUUUGAAUACAGUGUCAAACUUUAGUUGUUCAAGUAACCUUACUAUAACAAUUAUUUUUUCAGAGAACAAUACUCAUAACAAUAACAUGCUUCCAAUAUUUGUAUUUCAUAAAAUCAUGUCUAAGCAAAAUCUAUCAAAUGCAACAACAUAAUGAUAAACACAUAAUAGCUUGACACACAUGUUCAAACAAACAUGCAUUCCAAUAUAUGUUAUAUCAUUAUAAAGCUUCCUUACCUCAACAAGAGAUUUACAUAUCGUCUAAGCUACGUAUUAUUUGUGUUAUAGACUAGUGAGUGUUUAAUACUUAUCAUAAUAGUGAAGUGUGAUUUUUUUUAGUUAAACCUCCAUUCAAUAGUGAACAUGGGUCAUUAUAAUCCGGGAUUCAACUGGGAAGUAUGUUUUGACAAAGAAUUGCUCCACACAUAAAUUAAACUAAGAUUCUCCUAAACCAUUCAAUUUUUAGUAUAGCUCACUAAUCAUUUGAGUUCAAUUAAUUUGCUAUAUCAACACGUGAUUUAGAAGAAAGAUACAGCAGUAUGUCUUAUAGAAUUUGGCUAGAGAGCAAAAUUUCAAUGGUCAGACACAAAUUUAAGAUAUUAAAAUUGUUGAAAAAAAUAAAAUAAAUACAUCGAGUGUAAUAUCCUAAUCUUACCUAUGAGUAUUAAUAAAAUCUUAUAAUAAAUGUAUCUUAUAAUUUCUAAAAUAUAUUCAACACAAUGACUGAUACAAUUUUAAAAUAGAUUAGGGAAUUCAAUAAUAAAUUUAUUGAUAAGCAUAACCAUUAGAAAAAUUAACCCUAGAUACACAAUAAAACUAAGUAGCAUACACGAUUACUUACUAUAGUAUAAACUAAAUCAACAGCCACUGAAAAAUAAAGACAGCAUUUACUUUAAGACGGUUUUUGAAAACACAAUUUCAUGAACAACCACACAAAAUCCUGACUUAGUUAAAAGAGUAACAAGAACUUAAAUAGAAAUAAAAAAAAAUAAAAAAAAACAGCAGAAUAUUUCAUAUACCCAAAUAGCAUAGCUGUACUAACACAAGACUUUUUUAAAAAAAAAAGAACUACUACAAUAUUAAAAAUAAAAAAUUCAAUAACUACUCGUCAACAUAUAAUUGUAGGAUACUCUACCUAGUCCACCAUUUGACCAAGAGCAAUUCAAUUAAGCACAGUUCCUACCAUAAAGUAGUAGUCGAGAAAUAGAAUUAGAAGGGAUCAGAUGCCGAAGAUAUAACGUAGACGUAAGUAAUUCACCAUCUCAAGAAACAUUGGUUAACUAAAGAAUUAUUCAAAGCAAACAAAUGACACAACAUAAACCGAAGUUGCUUUUCAACUCAAAUAUGAACUGUGAGACGGUCAACAAUGUUUGUCACCUUGCCUGAAGGCACUACGAAUAUGGAACACUAAAGUCAAACACUGUCUUUCUAAGUAAGAUAUGUUUAGGACACAACUGAUUGUAUGAAAACAGCUCAACGGAAAUAAAUGGAUACUUGAGGGAUAUCAAUGUCAUUAUCAUCGUCAUCCUCACAAGCCACGACAACAUCUAUGUGACGACGGUAUGAAGGGAUUUCCAUCUUGGCAAUAUCCCUUGCUAAAUCCACAACUUUUUUGUCCAUCCGCUCUUUGUGCCUAGGAAACAUGCUAUUAAAAAGCAGGCAACUUCCACAAGAAAUACUAUAAGCAUUCAAACCUUUUUCCUUCAACCAAUCAAGAAGCUCCCUGAGAGUAGGAUUGUCUUUUAUAAUCCAUCUGUCCCAUACAGUCCAACUCAAAUCUUGAUGCUUGAUGACCUUUGCCGGAACUGGCUCAGCCAUGGAAAAGAGAGGCAGUGCUAAGUUGGCAAAGGUGUUUCGGUAGUCCUCGAGUUUGUGCCCUCCAUCCAAAGCUUUGUACAACUCCAGACAGACAAGGCCGGUGGCCAUAGCAGUUGAGGUUGCAAUCGCUGGAAUGAUCCGCCCAGCAAUAAACUUGGCCUUCAGCUUGUCAACUUCAGGAAUGCUGUAAUUGCGUGCUCUCAUGUUGGCAAGCCCAGCUAUCACGUCCAUAUGGUAGUUUGUAUCAUCAUCCUGCAAUUUUUAGGUAGAAAUUUUUGUCAACUCUGAUUUAAAUAAAUAAAUUAAUUAUGUACUGUGAACCCAGAUUGGCAGAUUCUAUCCUAAGCAUGUACAGACUUCCAAAUUUGCUUAUUGAAACCACCAAUUACAAAUACAAAAAAGAAAGGGCUUCACCAAUGAACAUGGUGAAUAUUCUGUCAGAAGAAAAAAUAAAAAUAUACCUUCUCAAACUGGAUUGGCUUCAUCCUGAACCCUGGUGGCAGAUUUGACCGCAAUCUCUCUAACUUGACAAUUAGAUCAUCAAUAACAACAGCAUCAUCCACAGAAGCAGUAGAGAGACUGGUUGCCUUCUCAUCUGUCACUAUUUUUGCAUCCUUCUUCGGCUGAAAGUCAGGUACUAUCAUUCUAUCAACAACUACUGCCAACUUAGUAGGGUUUUUCACCCAGUCAGGGGUAGGGAUACCAAAUGUUUCUGCGCGUAGUAUAGAGGCUGCCAUCAGAAACUGGAGAUGACUUGGAUCAGAGGAGGAGAACUGCAGUGGACGAGGGAAUCGUUUCGGUGCAGACCAAAAUGGAGCGCCAGUACUAGUUGCAGCAUCCUCGGGAAAAGUAUAAGCUAACUGCUUCACUCGGUUAGCAAAAUAAUCUUCAAACCUGUGAAUAUAAAACCAUGCUUGAGUGUAGAACAUACAAAUACAGGUAAACUAAUAUACACCGGCAUGAAUUAACAUAAAUAAAACAUAUAUUAUCAAGCAAACAUACUUAAGCCUGGCCCAAAUAAUACAAUCUUCAAAAGCCUCACACUUCUCCUUGUCCAAGCAUUCAAGAACACGCUCCAAAUUAUCCCUUGCCUGAGCAUCACCAGCGUUCUUCAUUGCAUUAGUAUAUUCACUUGGGUUGGAUAAAUAUGCAUUCACUUCAGCUGGAGUUUUCUCAAGCAAACCCUCAAACUCUGAUCUAGCCCAAGUCAAGCAGUGGUCAAUGUUGUGUGGAAAUGAAUGCACAGUACACAUCGGGGCUUGUUUCUCUGGUGGAUCUCUUGAGGCACCAUAGUUUUCCGUUAGGUGGGGAAUGACCAUCUGAGUAUUGCAUUUAGCUCCAAGAGUUCCAGAUUCAAGAAGUGGUUUCUGGAAAUACAGGCAUCUCUGAUCCACGUAUAGUCUUGCAUUCACAUUAUCUAGUGCAUUAAUUACAAUACUCAAGUUUUCCCAAAAGGUAUCAUGAAACACAUUUUCAGUUUCAGAGCUAACACGGUUUUGCAGAGCUUCAAUAUUCAGUUGAGGGUUUAUAGAUGCAGCAGCUGAAGCAGCAACUGUGGACUUCGCCUGGCCAAUAUUCCAAUCACGGAAGAGGAACUGCCUGCUUAAGUUACUCUUCUCUAUGACAUCAUCAUCAGUAACUGUAAGCUUCCCUUGACCUCCACAAGAAACUCCCAUUAAGGCAAGAUUCUUUAAAAAUUCACAUCCCAGUGCACCAGAUCCAACAACAAACACUUUAGCAUCUUCAAAUUUCUUCUGUAACUUUUGCCCAAAAACAGAAAUCUGAGCAUCGUAACGACUAUUUAUUGGUUUUAAAUCAUCAGGAUGCAAAGGUUCUGUAGGAAGUGAUUCUACAGAGUCGAAGUAGAAAAACUGCAGAGAUCACAACAGAAACAGAAGUUAAAAACAUGAUAUUUACCAAUAGACUCUGUAUUUUUACAAGCCAAUCAAAACCAUUUUAAUCCAAGUAUAUCUUGGAACUAUUUUAAACUCUUAUGACAAUGCCUCAAGGUUUGGAUUACUGUUAGACAGGGAUUGUUGUGCAGGCAGAGGGAAGAACAUGCAAUGCAUGAAUGCUUGGGAAAACCAUGGAUAUUAAAGAGGUCCAGAAUCCAAGCAUUUAAAUGACGGUCAAGACCAAAUUUCACUUAUUAUGAGGCAUCAGCUUCAACCGAGUGCCUUGCUCAAAAUAUUGGAAAGCUUUUUCCCUAAGAUCCAAUAUCAGAUAUAAGUUGCCUUUGUUUAAAAUAUAAAUGCCCAAGAAUUAUUUAUACAAAAGACUAGAGAAGAUCCAUAGUUCUACUUCUAGAAAUCCCAAAUGAAGCAGCAAAAAGAACACGCAAAACUCAAAUGGCUGGCUAACUUGGGAGAAAUUUAAUGGCAAAAUACCUCUAUAUGGGCUAACGUAUUUGCAGCGCCCAAUAUUUCAAAAUACAAGAGAAUAUAAGGAUUAACAAGAAAUUUCAAAUACCUGAAACAGUGGAUGAAAUUUCCCAGAGCAUGCUUUGACAACCUCUUGUCCUACAAUUCCACCGAACAUGGCAGCCAUAGGGUUCAAUACUGCCCUAGCACCAAAGGCAAAUUGCUGCAGAAGCUUGGGAUUCACAUCUUCCAACCUUCCAUCACCCAAGUUCCCAUUAAUAUUAUUGGCGAUAGAAAUGAAUUUAUGUGCAUCUUCCUCUGAACCAGCGACGGGGAAGCGGCCUAUCUCAGAAAUGAACUUAUCCAGAGCCUGGAAUGCUAGAUGCAGUAGAGGUGGGCGGUCAAACUUAGAAAAAUCGCUAAGAAGAAAUUCGCCUGGAUCAUUGAGUGCUUCCCUUAGAGGUUUGAAGUUCAAAACCUGUGGUUGUUUGGACUGUGUGACAAUACCACCUUUUUCAUAGGCACCAUAGUUUGUGGUGUCUUCUUCAAGAGUGAAUGAAUAUGCUCUAGCAUUUUUAAUCUUUCUUGGCUUUCCGUCAUUCAACU
rnacentral:lncRNA from 1 species